rnacentral:rRNA from 1 species
AGAGUUUGAUCCUGGCUCAGGAUGAACGCUAGCGGCAGGCUUAAUACAUGCAAGUCGUGGGGCAGCAUGACUGUAGCAAUACAGUUGAUGGCGACCGGCAAACGGGUGCGGAACACGUACACAACCUUCCUUUUAGUGGAGAAUAGCCCAGGGAAACUUGGAUUAAUACUCCGUAACAUAUAGAGGUGGCAUCACUUUUAUAUUAUAGCAGCAAUGCGCUAGAAGAUGGGUGUGCGGCUGAUUAGAUAGUUGGCGGGGUAACGGCCCACCAAGUCGACGAUCAGUAACUGGUGUGAGAGCACGACCAGUCACACGGGCACUGAGACACGGGCCCGACUCCUACGGGAGGCAGCAGUAAGGAAUAUUGGUCAAUGGACGCAAGUCUGAACAGCCAUGCCGCGUGGAGGAUGAAGGUCCUCUGGAUUGUAAACUUCUUUUAUCUGGGAAGAAAUCCAUUUUUUCUAAAAUGGUUGACGGUACCAGAUGAAUAAGCACCGGCUAACUCCGUGCCAGCAGCCGCGGUAAUACGGAGGGUGCAAGCGUUAUCCGGAUUCACUGGGUUUAAAGGGUGCGUAGGUGGGCAAGUAAGUCAGUGGUGAAAUCUCCGGGCUUAACCCGGAAACUGCCAUUGAUACUAUUUGUCUUGAAUACUGUGGAGGUCAGCGGAAUAUGUCAUGUAGCGGUGUAAUGCUUAGAUAUGACAUAGAACACCAAUUGCGAAGGCAGCUGGCUACACAAAUAUUGACACUGAGGCACGAAAGCGUGGGGGAUCAAACAGGAUUAGAUACCCUGGUAGUCCACGCCCUAAACUAUGGAUACUCGACAUUUGCGAUAAACUGCAAGUGUCUGAGCGAAAGCAUUAAGUAUCCCACCUGGGAAGUACGAUCGCAAGAUUGAAACUCAAAGGAAUUGACGG